AUUGAACGCUGGCGGCAGGCCUAACACAUGCAAGUCGAACGGUAACAGAAAGCAGCUUGCUGCUUUGCUGACGAGUGGCGGACGGGUGAGUAAUGUCUGGGAAACUGCCUGAUGGAGGGGGAUAACUACUGGAAACGGUAGCUAAUACCGCAUAACGUCGCAAGACCAAAGAGGGGGACCUUCGGGCCUCUUGCCAUCGGAUGUGCCCAGAUGGGAUUAGCUAGUAGGUGGGGUAAAGGCUCACCUAGGCGACGAUCCCUAGCUGGUCUGAGAGGAUGACCGGCAACACGGGAACGGAGACACGGUCCAGCCCCCUACGGGAGGAGGCAGGGGGGAAUUUGGACAAAGGGGGACAAGCUGGAGGCACCCGGGCGGCGGUGGGAAAAAGGGCCUUGGGGUUGAAAAGUAUUUCCGGGGGGGAGGAAGGGAGAAAAGUUAAUACCUUUGCUCAUUGACGUUCCCGGAGAAAGAAGCCCCGGCUAGCUCCGUC
rnacentral:rRNA from 1 species